CGCCGAAGGGUUAUGUUUUUAACUAACCUUUGGGUCCGUGCCCGCCAGAGAUAUCUGAACUCUUGUUAUGAAAUAGGUUGUCUGAGUUAUAAAGAAAAAUAAGUCAAAACUUUCAACAACGGAUCUCUUGGUUCCGGCAUCGAUGAAGAACGCAGCGAAAUGCGAUAAGUAAUGUGAAUUGCAGAAUUCCGUGAAUCAUCGAAUCUUUGAACGCACAUUGCGCCCUCUGGUAUUCCGGAGGGCAUGCCUGUCCGAGCGUCAUUGCUGUACCUCAAGCCCGGCUUGUGUGUUGGGCCUACCGUCCUGUUUGGAUGGUGGCCCGAAAGGCAGUGGCGGCGUCGCGUCCCGGUCCUUGAAGCGUAUGGGGCUUUGUCACCCGCUUGGAGGCCGGCCGAUGCCGUAGCCCAUCGUGGAUCUUCCACAUUUAUUCUGAUGGACCUCGGAUCAGGUAGGGAUACCCGCUGAACUUAAGCAUAUCAAUAAGCGGAGGAAAUCGAAUUCCCGCGGC
rnacentral:rRNA from 1 species